CCUUAACCCAAUUGAGAUAGUUUGAGAUGAGUUGGACCGCAGAUUGAAGGAAAAGCAGGCAACAAGUGCUCAGUAUAUGUGGGAACUCCUUCAAGACUAUUGGAAAAGCAUUCCAGGAUAUUGUUGAAGAUGACUUCAACUGUCUCACCUGUGACCAACUUUACUACAGUAUUCUCCAAUACCACAAUCACCACCAAGUCCAAAGAACAAAUACUCACUCAGAGUUCAGGGGCUAUGAUUGCUGUCAUUGUCAUCGGGAUCAUUAUCCUUCUAACCAUACUACUUGUCACCCUGAGGACAUACAACAGGCGGACACAUGCGUCCAGAGUGCUGGGAACAGGCUCCAAAGGGCCACCUCGACAGAAGAUGUCCUCUUCUACAGUGCAGACGAGCAUGCCCUUGGGGAGCUUUGCGCUGUCAAGUAAUAUGUCCGAAAAUGGAUUCCGGCUGCCCCGAGUGGAACUAAACAGCCUGGACCAAAACAACUUGGAGCAACAAAGCAGAAUCAGCGAUUCGACAGUAGUCACCAUACAUGAUACUCCAUCACUAGGGAAUACAUAGCAGGCCGCUAACGUAUUGGACAGGUGACAAAGUCAGCAUAUAAUGCUUGAAAAGAAACUCUUUAUUAUGAACAAAGUGGUGCUAUAAGAACGCAAUGAAUAUGCAUGGACACUCCUGUGGACAUAAACAAUUGCUUUCUUGACUACAGUGUUCAGAACAUGGACAAAAUUAUCCUGCUGUCUGUGCAUUUGCAGCUGUGCUACCAACAACCGUGAGGAUAAGCGUUGGAGGAGAGAUGUGUACAAGAUUUACGGCAUGAACAUGGUAUCAUGUCUAGUUUUUCUGUGUGCGUACAUUUCUGUGAGGGACUUGUUCACAGGGUUUUACAUUUAUUCACAUUAUUCUGAUGUAAGAUUAUUAUUCUUUCUUUUUUAUCUGAAUAAUGUUGUUGUGGUUUUCAGGAAAAAUCAUGAGAAUGUUUCUGUGAAAAGUCGAUACUGGUUUGAAUCCCUGUGGAGAUCUAGAUAGCAUACAAUUAUGAAAUAAUAAGUCCCAAUUAGUUUGAUUCCAAAGGAUUUUGCACUUUUCACUCACCCUAUCCUGUGAUUAUUUUUGCUUGUGGUUAUUUCAUUGAAAUAAAUAUUGAAAAUAAAUAUUGAUAUUUCUAAAAAGUGUGUGCAUGUUUCUGCUUGAAUAUG
ensembl:lncRNA